rnacentral:rRNA from 1 species
AAAAGACUUUGAAAUCUAAUACUCUCAACCGACCGAAGUAUUUAAAAUAUGACGGUGUGCCUUUUGUAUCAUGCAUUAGCGACUUUAAAUUUACAGCAAGCUUAAAUUGUUAAAUGUAAGCGUAGUUAAAGCAAGUGUUCAGUAUACACUAAAUAGUUGUAAAUUUAAGACCCGAAUCCAAGUGAUCUAGUUAUGAACAGGUUGAAUGCAUAAUAAUUUAUGUUGGAAGACCUAACUCGUAACUGUUGCAAAAGUUUGAGAUGAUUUGUAAUUAGGGGUGAAAGGCCAAUCAAACUUGGUGACAGCUGGCUUUCCAGUAAAUAUAUUUAGCAAGCGC